rnacentral:lncRNA from 1 species
GACUUUGACAACUUGAGUAUAUAUUAAUAUUGCCAUCUAUACUCAUAUGAAGAUGACUACUAUAUGAAAGCUGUUAACUGUAUUUGACACAAAACACGACAUAAACCCUCGAACAUAUAUUUCUGUGAAGAUUCAACAAUCUAAAUUUCAUUUCAACAAUCUAAACUUUUUUUUCCUUAAGUGAUUAUGGUACAUUUCAGUACCUACAGGAUUUGGCAAAUCGUCACAAGGGAUUGACAUGGAAAAGAAGUCCCCUAUGAAGAUUCCAUUGAUUCCACGCUGUAGAUUCAGGGCAUAUGUGUCUUUGAUCUAUGGUAGAAUUCUUUUAGGAUGAAUCUUUUUUCGCUUAGUGUGCUUUUGCUAAUAAUAUAAUGCC